CAGGGAAAGUGGGCGGGGCUAGGGGCGGGGCAUCGGCUAACUGACGCGAGCCCCCUCACCUCGCGAGAGUAGGCUCUGGACCGCCGCCCUCGGGUCACGUGGACAGCGAGCUGGCUCAGGCUAUUGACUUUUUCAAGAAUUAAAUUUGAUCCAAGUUUAUGGCGUGCUCCAGGUUCCCCCACGUUUUACCAUUUGAGAAAAGAGUCUGUAUGUGACCCAGACCUUGAACAUAAUCCCCUGACAGGUAGAUGGGGGCGGGGAAAGAUGGAGAGGAGCCGAGAGAGAGAAUAACCAAGACACACUUGGACGAAGGAAACAGGGCUUAUCUGGAGAUUUUACAGUACCAGAUGCUGCAAAGAGAAAAAGCAAAUAACUGCAUGAAUGCACUGUCUGGAAUAGCCAACAGACCUGCCUUCAAGUUCCUGGCUCAUCUCGCAGUGAUGGAUUGCAAGCCGGAAUUGUCAACCAAAUAAACCUUUCUCCCGGAUAUUGCUUUUUGUUACACUAUUUCAUCAACUGUGGCGUAGAAAAGUAUUUCAGACUCUCCCUAGAUGAUAAAACUGUGAAGCAGAAUUUGUUAAAAUAAAUAAUAGUAAAGAGCAUUGAAUCUGUGUAACUGCGUUGUUCACUCCUCAAUGGCCAGCUGCCCCGUGAACGUGGUGAAUAACUCUAGAACAAACCAGCAGCUGGACAAGGAGGGAGCAUAGUAUGAUGCUUGCAGGCACCUUUAUCUACAUCAGAGAGAAAAAAAAGUCUCCAAACCUUGAUCAUGAUCAUCAUGUCCACCAAUUCACCUGUCACAGGCUGUGAGGACAUGCUGUGAGUGGCUGGCCAGAACUGUAAAUCUUCAAAGACCUGAGAGCUGUCCAGACUCAUCUACAGAGAAUGCCCGUUCAUUCUCAGGCUACAAACUUGAAGGUUAUCAUAAUCCCUGGACCAUUCCAGCUGUGAACAUAGUGGAACAUGCCUAUUACUGAACAAAUCAGUCUCGUUUGCUGCUUGGGGCUAGAGAAUUUUGAGAGAGCUGGUUUUACAAAGCUUCCCCCAGAAAAUGCAGUCCACGUGACAAACUCCAGCCCUGAGUGAUUCAUUCCUCAGGGGCUUACCACACUAGAAGGGUUCCUGAUGCUUUCCAGGGUGUACCACAAGCCUUACUUUCAGAGAUUCGUUAGAUCAUAGCCACUCUAGUCGCACACACAAUAUUGCUUUUCUUCAACAUCAAGAAAAUGAAAAGUUGUAGGUUCCUUUCAGACUAACAUGCUUUGGUGAAUCCAGAACCCCUGAAGCAAUGGCCAGGUGAUCCAACACUGAAGACACCUGGGAAGAUGCAGUCAGACCACUACAGUCAGGAUUUCCAGGUCUUGUUAGGAUCCUCGUGGUAUUUCAGCGUCCCCAAUCAGCAGGAAGUAGUUUGGAAAGAAUGACGCCC
rnacentral:lncRNA from 1 species